UUUAACUGAGCGUUCAGUUACUUGACGUAGACCCGAAACCGGGCGACCUACCCAUGAGCAGGAUGAAGCGAAAGUAAAAUUUCGUGGAGGUCCGAACCCACGAGCGUUGAAAAGCUCGGGGAUGACUUGUGGGUAGCGGUGAAAUUCCAAUCGAGCCCGGAGAUAGCUGGUUCUCCCCGAAAUAGCUUUAGGGCUAGCCUCAAGGUGAGAGAUACGGAGGUAGAGCACUGAAUGUCCUAGGGGGUAUUGCACCUACCGAAGACUAUCAAACUCCGAAUGCCGUCAUCUUAUACUUGGGAGUCAGACUGUGGGUGAUAAGAUUCAUAGUCGAAAGGGCAACAGCCCAGAUCGUCAGCUAAGGUCCCUAAAUGUAAGUUAAGUGGUAAAGGAUGUGGGAUUGCACAGACAACCAGGAUGUUGGCUUAGAAGCAGCCACUCAUUCAAAGAGUGCGUAAUAGCUCACUGGUCGAGUGAUCCUGCGCCGAAGAUGUCCGGGGCUAAAACUUACUACCGAAGCUACGGCAUCAGUAAUGAUGGGUAGGGGAGCUUCCCAUACGGGUUGAAGCAUGACCGUAAGGACAUGUGGACAGUAUGGGAGUGAGAAUGUUGGCAUGAGU
rnacentral:rRNA from 1 species